rnacentral:rRNA from 1 species
GAUGAACGCUGGCGGCGUGCCUAAUACAUGCAAGUCGAGCGAAUGGAUUAAGAGCUUGCUCUUAUGAAGUUAGAGGCGGACGGGUGAGUAACACGUGGGUAACCUGCCCAUAAGACUGGGAUAACUCCGGGAAACCGGGGCUAAUACCGGAUAAUAUUUUGAACUGCAUGGUUCAAAAUUGAAAGGCGGCUUUGGCUGUCCCUCAUGGAUGGACCCGCGUCGCAUUAGCUAGUUGGUGUGGUAACGGCUCACCAAGGCAACGAUGCGUAGCCGACCUGAGAGGGUGAUCGGCCACACUGGGACCGAGACACGGCCCAGACUCCUACGGGAGGCAGCAGUAGGGAAUCUUCCGCAAUGGACGAAAGUCUGACGGAGCAACGCCGCGUGAGUGAUGAAGGCUUUCGGGUCGUAAAACUCUGUUGUUAGGGAAGAACAAGUGCUAGUUGAAUAAGCUGACACCUUGACGGUACCUAACCAGAAAGCCACGGCUAACUACGUGCCAGCCGCCGCAGUAA